rnacentral:lncRNA from 1 species
CUCUACUGCAAUAGGAAGAACCAUCUACCAGCAAAGCCAAGUAUUAAUUUUACGUAGGUAAGAAGUUCUCAACAUCUACUGUAAAAUAAAAAUAAAAUAAAAACAUAAACGAUUUUUUUUUCUGAGAGAUGGAGAAUGAUAAUACUUUAUCCAUCUUAAAACUUUCAAGCUUUCAGUAGUCAACGUUUAUUUAGUCUAACCUGAAUUGCUAAUGGCUAAAAAUUCCAUUUUAUCUAACUGGAGAAGGAAACGAAACAUUACUGAUCACCUAGUAAUUUGGAAGAGGAAAAUUAAGAUGAUUGAAUGGAACAAAGCUACCAAAGAACACAAUUGAAGCUUUCCAUUUGAAAAGCAUAGAUAAAAUAACUUAUGUGAAGGAUAUGAAACAGUAAGAACAUUCUUAUCCACCAACGUACUUUUCUGCUUUCUUCGAUAGGAAAAAAGAGAAAGCAGAUUCUGAAUGAUAAAAAACAAGUGAUUCACAAUCUAAUGCAAUAUUCUCAAACCUGCACUCUUCAACCAAUACUGGAGAAGACCAGAAUUUCACUAUUUGAUAGGCGAAUCAUCCUUAGCAAAACAAUGCUAUGUAAGUAUGUAUUCACCAAAACCAAACUUGCAAUAAUUGCAUACUGUUUGUCCUAGCACCUAACAUAAUAACAUCCCUAGGUUGCAAAACUAGGAUCCAACAAGUCAACGAACAUUAUGCGAAGCGAAUUCCCCGAUGCAACAGUUUCUGAAGCACUUAAAAGAUGAAGAAAAAAAAGGGGGGCGGGGGGAUUUUUGAAACAGAAGGGAAAAGGUUGGGUCUACC